rnacentral:rRNA from 1 species
GGAUUAGUGGCGAACGGGUGAGUAACACGUGGGCAAUCUGCCCUGCACUCUGGGACAAGCCCUGGAAACGGGGUCUAAUACCGGAUAUGACGCGUGACCGCAUGGUCUGCGCGUGGAAAGCUCCGGCGGUGCAGGAUGAGCCCGCGGCCUAUCAGCUUGUUGGUGGGGUAAUGGCCUACCAAGGCGACGACGGGUAGCCGGCCUGAGAGGGCGACCGGCCACACUGGGACUGAGACACGGCCCAGACUCCUACGGGAGGCAGCAGUGGGGAAUAUUGCACAAUGGGCGAAAGCCUGAUGCAGCGACGCCGCGUGAGGGAUGACGGCCUUCGGGUUGUAAACCUCUUUCAGCAGGGAAGAAGCGAAAGUGACGGUACCUGCAGAAGAAGCGCCGGCUAACUACGUGCCAGCAGCCGCGGUAAUACGUAGGGCGCGAGCGUUGUCCGGAAUUAUUGGGCGUAAAGAGCUCGUAGGCGGCUUGUCACGUCGGAUGUGAAAGCCCGGGGCUUAACCCCGGGUCUGCAUUCGAUACGGGCAGGCUAGAGUUCGGUAGGGGAGAUCGGAAUUCCUGGUGUAGCGGUGAAAUGCGCAGAUAUCAGGAGGAACACCGGUGGCGAAGGCGGAUCUCUGGGCCGAUACUGACGCUGAGGAGCGAAAGCGUGGGGAGCGAACAGGAUUAGAUACCCUGGUAGUCCACGCCGUAAACGUUGGGAACUAGGUGUGGGCGACAUUCCACGUUGU